UACAGAGGGGGCAAGCGUUGUUCGGAAUUACUGGGCGUAAAGGGCGCGUAGGCGGCCUUCUAAGUCGAACGUGAAAUCCCUGGGCUCAACCCAGGAACUGCGUCCGAUACUGGUUGGCUUGAAUCCGGGAGAGGGAUGUGGAAUUCCAGGUGUAGCGGUGAAAUGCGUAGAUAUCUGGAGGAACACCGGUGGCGAAGGCGGCAUCCUGGACCGGCAUUGACGCUGAGGCGCGAAAGCCAGGGGAGCAAACGGG
rnacentral:rRNA from 1 species